rnacentral:rRNA from 1 species
CCCUUAGAUGUUCUGGGCCGCACGCGCGCUACACUGAUGCAUUCAACAAGCCUAGCCUUGACCGAGAGGUCCGGGUAAUCUUUGAAACUGCAUCGUGAUGGGGCUAGAUUAUUGCAAUUAUUAAUCUUCAACGAGGAAUGCCUAGUAAGCGUGAUUCAUCAAAUCGCGUUGAUUACGUCCCUGCCCUUUGUACACACCGCCCGUCGCUCCUACCGAUUGAAUGUGUUGGUGAGGAGCUCGGAUUGGCAGCAGUUGAUGGUUCGCCACCGGCUAUUGCUGAGAAGUCCUCCAAACCGCCCCAUUUAGAGGAAGGAGAAGUCGUAACA